UACGUAGGGUGCAAGCGUUGUCCGGAUUUAUUGGGCGUAAAGAGCUCGUAGGUGGCCUGUCGCGUCGGCUGUGAAAACUCGGGGCUCAACUCCGAGCUUGCAGUCGAUACGGGCAGGCUAGAGUUCGGCAGGGGAGACUGGAAUUCCUGGUGUAGCGGUGAAAUGCGUAGAUAUCAGGAGGAACACCUGUGGCGAAAGCGGCGCACUGGACCACAACUGACGCUGAGGCGCGAAAGCUAGGGGAGCAAACAGG
rnacentral:rRNA from 1 species